UUUUUUUUUUUAAUUAUUAUUUGGUUUGAGAUCUUCCCAGUUGUUGGCAUGACAAGUGAUUUUUAAUAAAACCUGGGCAUUUGGGGUAUUGUGAGACUCUAGAUCUUAUUUAAACCUUCUGUUUUAGCUGCCUUCCUCUGAAACCACUCUGACAGGCGAAGAGGGAGACUGUGUCAUCAUUGCCAGGUUGGAGUAGAAUGUAGUUCCUCCCACACCUCCACGGACACCUGAGAGAGGGGUUCCUCCUGGCUGCUGGGCAGGGAGUAGUUUUGGAUCUCCACUGGGCCCCUGCUGACACCUCCCUGGCUGGGAGGAGUAGUGUUACUGCUUCCUACGCAGUCUCCACUGACACCACCCCAGUGAUUGGAAGGGGUGGAAAUCCAGACUCCUCUUGUGGUUUCCACUUUUACAUAGAGGUGGAGGUGGCAGGUUUUGUAACCACGCAGCAGAGAUCAAAGUCUUGGCUCCUACUACUCAGCAUUCUGUGACACUGCCCAGUGGAGGGGGCUCAGGUGCCUCCUCGGAACCUGACAAGAGUGGAAAUCUCAGCUUUCCAAACAGCCUUUGCUGGCAGGGUGGGGCCACAGUUUGUUUGUGUGUGUGUGUGUGUGUGUGUGUGUGUGUCUGUGUGUGUGUGAGAGAGAGAGAGAGAGAGAAAGAGAGAAAGAUUGAGAGAGAGAAUGGAAGAUGUUUGGCUAGAGCACAGUAGUUGUCUAAAAGCUUUCGGUGGGGUGUCCCUCUUUGGUCCCUUGGCUAGAAAGGACAGGCUUUCGUUGUUGUUCAUGUUUUUUCUGUUCCCAUUGGUGUUUCUUGAUUGCUGGUUUUUCUAACUCCAAAUCUGGAAUAUAUGAGGCAAAAAGAAAACCCACAUAACUAAUCACUGGGUCAUUCCUUGGGUCUUGAGGUCCACUGAGGUUCUGCUGCUUCUCUCCACCUUCAUAUCUUCUUAAUGUUUGUUUUACGUGGAUGUCCAGGGUUUUUAGGUGUAUGUUGUGGGAAUAACAGGUAAAAAAGCAUGUUCACUCCAUCUUCUCAGAAACAGAAAUAGUCCUUCCUUUCAUUUUGAGGUUAAAAUGAGAAACCUUAUCAAGUAAGGAAAUUACAUUUACUAUGUUGAAAAAGCUACAUCAAGUAGUAGCAGAAGUUUACAUGAAAUCAAUUUGGAAUACUUAUCAAAAAACCUUAAGAAAAACUUUAAAAUUGUGCCAUGGCAUUUAACGAAGGAGAGAACCAAUUUACAAAGAAUAUGUUUCAAAUGCUCUCCAAAAAUACCCAAAUUCUAUGGUUAACUUUUUAUUUCAAGAUAUUUCAAAAAAAAAAAAAGGACUUUAUCUCUGUGGCUAAUGUUUUGCAAUUGAUUAUGUAAAAAAUAUUGAGGUUUUUAGCUUUUUUCCCCCUACUUUGAUCAUUAUUUGAAGGUGCCUUUCUUUCCUAAGCUGUCCGCAAGAAAUAGCUGCAUAGGUCUUAUGUAUGAUUAUAUUUAUACUACCUGAAAGCUCUUCUCCCAAACAACCUCUUUAGUCACUUUAAGAGAACCAGAUGUAUGAUAAAGGAUGGCAGUCAUCAUUAAAGAGCAGACAGGGUCCUAACAUUACAUCUAUUUCCUUUAAUCAACCUUUUAUCUUAGAUGAAAUGGGGAGAGUGGCAAAAAACACUGCUCAAAGUAAAUAAAAGUCUGUCUAAAAUAUAUUGAGAUGAAGUCUGUUUUUGACAGAAAUUCUUUUUUACAGUUCAAUAUAAAAGGUUACUCUAAAGAAAUUUAAUUAAGAAAGUGUCAGAAUCAAAUAAGAUGUAGAAAGUCUCAAGAAAUGUGUAAAUUAGAAUAACCUUCAAAUUGAUAAAGCACUUUAAACAAUCUAAGAGCAGCUCUGAGUUAAGACAGCUGGGCAUUUGCUUGGAAUAAUCCUGGAAAAAUCAGGGUUUGGAUUUUGUGCUCCACUUGCCAAUUAGAAGCAAAUGGCGAUUCCUUAGGGUAGUCUCUAAAUUCAUCACGUUAUUACUUCACAUAGCCUUUCUCUUCCUUGGAUGAACAGAAGGAAACUGCAUGGUACAGCACUCAAUGAAAUGUAAAAUAAGGAUUAACAAGCCAUUUUGGAGAUUUCGCAAAAUUAAGCUUCAUCAACCAGCUUGACUCACGGCCAAUCUGGCAAAAAGCAUCCUAGAAAGAAAACUAACAGUCAAGUGACAUGUAGCACAAAAAAUUUAAAUAACUCCCAGAAGCAUUAAAAUCAUGAAAAGGUGCAUUGUGUUCUGUGAUCAACCAAGUCCA
rnacentral:lncRNA from 1 species